UUACCCGAUGGUGUAAUUGGUAACACAUGGGCUUUUGGUGCCCACGUUCCAGGUUCGAGUCCUGGUCGGGUAGU
rnacentral:tRNA from 1 species